rnacentral:rRNA from 1 species
CAGCAGCCGCGGGAAUACGUAGGGUGCAAGCGUUAAUCGGAAUUACUGGGCGUAAAGCGUGCGCAGGCGGUUUGUUAAGACAGAUGUGAAAUCCCCGGGCUUAACCUGGGAACUGCAUUUGUGACUGGCAAGCUAGAGUCUGGCAGAGGGGGUAGAAUUCCACGUGUAGCAGUGAAAUGCGUAGAGAUGUGGAGGAAUACCGAUGGCGAAGGCAGCCCCCUGGGCCAAUACUGACGCUCAUGCACGAAAGCGUGGGGAGCAAACAGGAUUAGAUACCCGUGUAGUCCCUGUCUCUUAUACA